GAUUGCACGCAAUAGUGGGGCU
rnacentral:miRNA from 1 species